rnacentral:rRNA from 1 species
UACGAAGGGGGCUAGCGUUGUUCGGAAUUACUGGGCGUAAAGCGCACGUAGGCGGAUAUUUAAGUCAGGGGUGAAAUCCCGCAGCUCAACUGCGGAACUGCCUUUGAUACUGGGUAUCUCGAGUAUGGAAGAGGUGAGUGGAAUUCCGAGUGUAGAGGUGAAAUUCGUAGAUAUUCGGAGGAACACCAGUGGCGAAGGCGGCUCACUGGUCCAUUACUGACGUUGAGGUGCGAAAGCGUGGGGAGCGAACAGG